CAGUCGAACGAAGCACUUUAUUACAAUUUCUUCGGAAUGACGAUUUAGUGACUGAGUGGCGGACGGGUGAGUAACGCGUGGGUAACCUGCCUUAUACAGGGGGAUAACAGUUAGAAAUGACUGCUAAUACCGCAUAAGCGCACAGGAUUGCAUGAUCUGGUGUGAAAAACUCCGGUGGUAUAAGAUGGACCCGCGUCUGAUUAGCUGGUUGGUGAGGUAACGGCCCACCAAGGCGACGAUCAGUAGCCGACCUGAGAGGGUGACCGGCCACAUUGGGACUGAGACACGGCCCAAACUCCUACGGGAGGCAGCAGUGGGGAAUAUUGCACAAUGGGGGAAACCCUGAUGCAGCGACGCCGCGUGAGCGAAGAAGUAUUUCGGUAUGUAAAGCUCUAUCAGCAGGGAAGAAGAAAUGACGGUACCUGACUAAGAAGCACCGGCUAAAUACGUGCCAGCAGCCGCGGUAAUACGUAUGGUGCAAGCGUUAUCCGGAUUUACUGGGUGUAAAGGGAGCGCAGGCGGUACGGCAAGUCUGAUGUGAAAGCCCGGGGCUCAACCCCGGUACUGCAUUGGAAACUGUCGGACUAGAGUGUCGGAGGGGUAAGUGGAAUUCCUAGUGUAGCGGUGAAAUGCGUAGAUAUUAGGAGGAACACCAGUGGCGAAGGCGGCUUACUGGACGAUUACUGACGCUGAGGCUCGAAAGCGUGGGGAGCAAACAGGAUUAGA
rnacentral:rRNA from 1 species